rnacentral:tRNA from 1 species
GAAGGAAACGGCUCAGUGGUAGAGCGCGUGUUUAGCAUGCACGAGAUCCCGGGUUUAAUUCCCAGUACCUCCA